rnacentral:rRNA from 1 species
UACGUAGGGUGCGAGCGUUAAUCGGAAUUACUGGGCGGAAAGCGUGCGCAGGCGGUUUUGUAAGCCAGAUGUGAAAUCCCCGGGCUUAACCUGGGAAUGGCAUUUGUGACUGCAAGGCUGGAGUGCGGCAGAGGGGGAUGGAAUUCCGCGUGUAGCAGUGAAAUGCGUAGAUAUGCGGAGGAACACCGAUGGCGAAGGCAAUCCCCUGGGCCUGCACUGACGCUCAUGCACGAAAGCGUGGGGAGCAAACAGG